GUAACAUUUUGGCGGGAAUGUCAAAUCCACUAUAAAACUUAUAAUUAAUUUUACGGAAAAGACUAUCUAUCAAAAUUCACGUAGAAAAAAUCCAGUAGAUAUGCUGGGAUUCGAACUCAAGACCUUUAGCAUAUCAAGCCACGACACAUACCACUACACCAGGACGACUUGAUACGAAAUAAUAGUAAUUUGACAUACUUAAAGGAAGCAAGAUAUUUUUAUUAGUGGGGCGAGUUGUCAAACCUUUAUUCAGUGGGGUUUUAACCUUUCACGUUUAUUUGUGAGUUUUCAGACUGAUUGUUUAAUUUGAUUUUACACUUUUUCAAAGUGGGGCAAGUCGGUAAACAAGAUUGGGACGAUAUUUUUAUAAAGUGGCGAUAUAGCGUGGGCCGAUUGGCAAGUGGGGCGAGUUGACAUUGUUUGAUAUCUACUCAUCGUGUUUGGGGUCAAAAAGGUAUACAUCAUAUAGUAAUAUAUAAAGUAUAUUGUUAUGGUUGUGUGGCGUUCUAAACUAGAUUUUAUGAAUUGUAAAUGGUUUUUCGUCUAAUCUAAAACAGCUGGGAUGUAAAAUAGUUAUCCCAGUCGGACUUGGGUGUGUCAGUGUUAGAUCACCCUCUGGCCUCCGGCCAUCGGGGUGAUCUUACACUGACACACCGCGUCCUUAUGGGAUAACUAUUAAAGACAAAUCUA
rnacentral:lncRNA from 1 species